rnacentral:lncRNA from 1 species
AUGUUCAAUUAAUGCCCAUCUGACUUUCAAGGAUUGAUUCACGGAUUCGUCUCAUCCGUUUCACAGAGGUGCUUCUCCCCAGCCAGGCCUUGGAGAACUUGUGUGGUGAAACUCUGUGUCUAACUAAUCUGAUGGGGACAUGGAGAACCUUUGUAUCUAGCUCAGGGAUUGUAAACGCACCAAUCAGCGCCCUGACAAAACAGACCACUUGGCUCUACCAAUCAGCAGGAUGUGGGUGGGGCCAGAUAAGAGAAUAAAAGCAGGCUGCCCGAGCCAGCAUUGACAACUCGCGGGGAUUGUUUUCCACACCGUGGAAGCUUUGUUCUUUUCG